rnacentral:lncRNA from 1 species
UCUCUGUAGAUUUGCUUAUUCUGGACAUUUCAUAUCAAUGGACUCAUACACAUGUGGUCUUUUUUGACCGGCUUCCUUCACUCAGCAUGUUUUCAAGGGUCACCCGCAUGGUAGCACGGAUCAGCACUUCGCCUCUUUUUAAUGCCGUGUAACAUCCCAUUGUAUGGAUAUAUCAUUUUGUUUAUCCAUUCAUCCCUGGAUGAACAUUUUGGUUGUCUCUCCAUCUCAACUAUCGUGAAUAAUGCUGCUGCCAAUAUCCAGUAGCAAGGCUUUGUGUGGACGUAUGUUUUCAGUUUGGGGUGUAUACCUAGGGAUAGAUUUGCUGGAUCAUAUGGUCAUGCUUUGUUCUGAAGCUCAAACAUCUAAACCUCCGUCGUCUUCUUUGUUCCCAGGCGGAGAUGGUACACAGCGCUUUCCAGGCCCAGCGGGCGUUCCUUCUGAUGGCCUCACAGUUCCAACAACCCCAGGAGGUCGUGAUCCCAGCGUCCUGGAAUGGAGCCCCACAUCGGGCUCUCUGCACCACGGAGUCUGCUUCCUCCUCUCUCUCUGCCUGCCUCUCUGCCUGCUUGUGAUCUCUAUCAAAUAAAUAAAUAAAAUCUUCAAAAAAAAUAAAAGUCACUCAUUAAAUAUUGGGUGAAUGAGGACAAGUAAGCACACAAAUGAAUGCAGUG